CACACGACUCUCGGCAACGGAUAUCUAGGCUCUCGCAUCGAUGAAGAACGUAGCAAACUGCGAUACUUGGUGUGAAUUGCAGAAUCCCGUGAACCAUCGNNNNNUGAACGCAA
rnacentral:rRNA from 1 species